GCAGGGUGGGGGCUCUGUCGUGAAUAUGGCUCCCACGGCUCAUCCUCCGGACCGUCGGAGGGAGCCAUCUCCGGAAUAUUGACUCUUUGCCAUUCGGACUCCAUUUCCCAUAGGCCCUCAUUCCUGGGACUGAUUGCACUUUCACCUGCACCACAUCACACACACACACUAUUUAAGCCUCACACGCACACCACAUCUUUGCGAAGUCUUGAUUUGCUACGGUAGUCAUUUCUGAGCGUUAUUUCUGUGGACUGAUAUCUUGUUAUUACCCGGACCGUUUGUUAUCUGUGAACCUCUGCCGCCUGCCUUGAACUUUGCCUGUACCUUGGACUGUGAUUGUUUGCUGCCUGUCUUGAUCUCUGCCUGUGACCCGUCUCUGAUUCUCGCUGCCUGCCUCGACCCCUGCCUGUCCCUGACUACGAUGGAGUUCCCAUUGACAUGCAUUAUACGACUGACAGACCACAACGGUUGGAGUUAAAAAUCAUCAUUUGUGUUCUACUGAAGAAACAAAGUCACCUACAUCUUGGAUGCCCUGGGGGAUUUUGUUACCAUUGACAUGCAUUAUAUGACUGACAGACUGCAAAGGUUGGAGUUAAAAAUCAUCAUUUGUGUUCUACUGAAGAAACAAAGUCACCUACAUCUUGGAUGCCCUGGGGGUAAGCAGAUAAGCAUCAAAUUUUCAUUUGGUGUAUCCUAGGUGUAUAUGACUUCAGCGAUGUCUUCUUUCUUUAAAAAUAUCCUUAUUCCUCCAAGGUUUGUAAUGGUUGUGAAUGGUAGCCCAAUUUCUGAAGACAGAAAAAAUGCAUUCAUCCAUAAAAAAUGAAGUAGCACAACGCGUAGUACAUCAUGUCAUUGUGUAGAACGUCAUGUCAUUGUGUACUACAUCGCGGAAGCUAACGCUUUUUGGACAUACGUCAAAUGCGUAUGGCUGUCGCGCCGGAAGCUCGUUAUUUUACUUUAUAAAGUUUUAAAUAAGGAUAUUUGUUUUACACAAAUGCAUCGAUUCACUUCGGAAGGCCUUUAUUAACCCCUGGAGUCCUAUGGAUUCAUCUCUGAUUGUGUUCAUCUGAAAGAAGAUAGUCAUAUACACCUAGGAUGGCUUGAGGGUGAGUAAAUUAUGGAA